rnacentral:rRNA from 1 species
UACGUAGGCAGCGAGCGUUGUUCGGAGUUACUGGGCGUAAAGAGUGCGUAGGUGGCUCUCUAAGUUUGGUGUGAAAUCUCCCGGCUCAACUGGGAGGGUGCGCCGAAAACUGGAGGACUAGAGUGUGGGAGAGGAAAGCGGAAUUCCAGGUGUAGCGGUGAAAUGCGUAGAUAUCUGGAGGAACACCGGUGGCGAAGGCGACAUCCUGGACCGGUAUUGACGCUGAGGCGCGAAAGCCAGGGGAGCAAACGGG